rnacentral:rRNA from 1 species
UACGUAGGGACCAAGCGUUGUUCGGAUUUACUGGGCGUAAAGGGCGCGUAGGCGGCAUGACAAGUCACUUGUGAAAUCUCUGGGCUUAACCCAGAACGGCCAAGUGAUACUGUCGCGCUAGAGUGCGGAAGGGGCAAUCGGAAUUCUCGGUGUAGCGGUGAAAUGCGUAGAUAUCUGGAGGAACACCGGUGGCGAAGGGCGGCAUCCUGGACCGAUACUGACGCUGAGGAGCGAAAGCCAGGGGAGCAAACGGG